CUCCAAGACAAGGUAAAUUUUAAAUAUUUUUAAUCCUCGAGAAAUAAGCUAUCGGAAAAUGUUUGAAUCAAGUUUAUAUACGAUCAGAAAUUUAGAAGUUAGGAGUCAAUUUGGCAGCCGCGGCUUGAUUUGGGGUGAAAAUUCUAUAGCCGAUGCCAGGGCCUUCUCAGCACGAAGGCCCUGGGGACGCGGUUGGUCACACUAUGUAUAUAUUAGGCGUAAAAUGAUAAAGUACGCAAAGCAUUCUGAGCAUACCAAGUCUUUAGAAUUUGCUAAAUUGGUUUAAUUUCUAAACUUCGAGGAAUGGUUCGUUUGAAUAGCGAUGUUCUCCAUUCAACAAAUCUGAUUCUAUUGGUGAAUUUGGAUACUGUAAGUAUUGACAAUCUGUU